UUGUAACGAUCAGUAUCCCGAUCGUUACUAUAAGAUUCAUUUCUGUAACUAUUAAGUAUGCAACCCGGUAUACGUUCACUCGCAUAGAGUGUAAUCUAAACUUGAGCCCAUUAUAAUUAUUUUGGUUGGUAGUAUGGUUAGUGAAUUUUACAUUUAUUCGUUGGCUCAUGGGUAAAUGACAAUUUCCGCCUGUUGACAGGACGGAAAGAAAGUGAAAGUUGAUGGUUACUUGAUCUUCGGUAGCCGUCUGCAAAUGAUGUGAUUUUCCAGCGACCGGUGUCUAGCCAUUUUAUUUUAUUUAGAAAAUAAUUAUUUAGUUGAAAAGGAAUGCAUUUAAGUUGGAAAGAAGUUUAUUUUAUGGUAUAAAUUAUGGUGAGAGUGCUGUUUUAGUUCCAAUAUCGGAGGAUUCUGGACAUUGGUCGCUGGAGAAUAGAAGAUUUAGUCAACAGAAAUAAGAAUAAUUUUUGGGAAAGAGUGGGAAAUUUUGGGACAUAUUUGGAAGUUUUGAUUUUAUUGGAAUCUUGGUUUUUAUGGAAUUUAUUUUUUGGAAUUCGCCGAUACUGAGAGGUAUCUCCAGUUGGUAACAAGGAUACAUCUCCCUCCUAGGUUGAGGAACACCGCAAGCUACCUUCCUUGGGCCUCUGAUCAUUCCCUGGAAAGAGUUGGAGAACCCAUGGUCACUUGGUAGACCGGACAGGUUUUUAUAAGUCAAUUUGAUUGUAAUUUGUUUUAAUAAUAUUUGCACUUUUACCUAUUUUUUUUUGUAUCAAUAACUUAAUAAUCCUAAUAAUAGUAUACCUUCAUUUUCUUAAACAUAAUUAAACUAAACAAUAAUUUUUCAAAAAUUUUAUAUUUCAAGGUUAGCUCAUUUAUUUUAAAAUAGUGGGGGGGAUUAUAAACUAUCUGUAAAGAUAGUGUGCACAUUAUCUCAGUUUGAAUCCUUAUCGAAACUUUGAUUUCAUUGUCAGGUAUUAUACUUACGUUUAUCACCUCCGAACAGAUACGAUAUUGUCAGCCAAUAUUGGCUUCUUCAUUAACAACAAAUUUGUACAUACAUUUUUACAUUAAUUAACUUUCAUAUAUAAACCAUUCUUUUCAUAUUUUUCACAUAUUGUAAAAACCUGUGUUAUCAACAGGAGUGUCAUAGCUUAGUACGUCCGGUUUAGCUAGUGUAUAAAAAUUGUAUAUAGGGGUUAUAGGUUUGUUUCAUUAAAUUUGUUAGUUGUACCUAAA